UGUCAUCCAGGAAACUGGCAAAACUGUUCGCGCCUUUCUAAAUUUGAAAAUAUGACCGUUUUUAUCGUCUUUCUGAGUGAGGCGGCUGACUGACUGUGUGUGUGUGAGGCAAGCUGCUGCUCGUUGAGAUUGCUCGGUCGGUCCCGAAUUAUUUUAUAUUUGCCUGUUAAAUUUUUAUUUUGAACGAAUUUGAGUCGUGACAUGUCAACGGAGAACACAAACUAGAAUAUGAACACAGGAAGGGUCAGGUGUGAUCUGCGAGGUCCAGCAAACACACGGACAAAAUCAGAGUCAUCAAGGGUCCAGCUGUUUAUUGGCAAUUUGGACAAUACAGAAAAUGCACAAGUGUGAGAGAGAGGAGGAUGGCAUCAGAAAGGACCUAGAGCUGGG